UAAGAUGAUGUGGGUGACCCCCAUUGGAAG
rnacentral:piRNA from 1 species